ACAUGCCUACAACAUAGCGUUCAUGCACCAUAUCCCAUUAGAAAUCCGCAAUUAAGUGCACUCGGGCUAGAGUAGUACUAGGAUGGGUGACUACCCGAGAAGUCAUGGUGUUUUACAUGCA
rnacentral:rRNA from 1 species